CACUAGCUCACGUUGUCAUUUUUAACAUAACCUUCUCUUACUUUAUGAUUUACAGCAAUCAGAAGCCGCACCUGAAUAGGACGUCCAGCAUGAACAACGUGAAAAAAGGUGGGAAACAUGACGAAGGCGGAACAAGACGAAGUUGGCGCCUUGGGACCUCCAAUCCUUUUCCGACCGAAGAUAGAAGUUGCAGCAGCUGAUGAGCCGUAACCGAUGAAGCACAAUAACCCUCCGAAUAUAUUUUAUCUUCUUGAUGCGCGGAGCUGCAAAAACAGACGCUAAGUUCGGUGAAACGUAAUUUUUCUUCGAAUCUUCGAACGUAAGAAAACACCGCUGGGAUCUAUACACCGAGAAAGCUGACAAAUGAAUCAAGAAGUUCGAAACUUGCUGUCUGGAGAGCAGAUCGUUGCAUCGUCCGGAAGACGUCGAAAUUUCUUUGACCCAUUUUAUCCUUUCGUUUCCGAACGUCUGCAGAAUUUACCACCCACGGCAUGUUUGCUCAUACGAAUACUUUUCUCCGGGUGAAAAAAUUCGAUUCGCACAGUAAUAAAUCAAAGGUUGCAACCCUUUGGCUACGACAAAGGAAACCGAGUGCCCUGUCAUGUCCCACAAUCCAUGGCUACUGUCAUUUCUCUAGGAGUAUUGCUGGUUACUGAUUAUGCCGCAAAAAAGCUUCGUUCCAGUUGAUUACAAUAGUCAUUAUUUAGGAGUUGUAAAUUAUUCAAAUUUUGACGCCUAGAAGGAAAGUCUAUUUGCUUAUCUCAACCCUUUCACCAUCAUUUCUUUGCUUUCUCAUCUUCCGACUUCUUCACUUUUAAACUUUAUCUAUUCUUCGAAUCUUACUUGCACCAACUCUCUCCGAUUGCGUUUGAAGAAUCCAAGCAACGGUACGCUUGGAAUGUAAAAUAAUUUAGAGUUGAAAGUAAAAUUAGUAAACUGCGGAUUUUUAUAUAAAUUUAUAUUCAUAAAAACAUGAAUUUUUGUUGAAUAGGUCAUCGUGGUCGCUUUCGUUCACUGUCUAUCUUGGGAGCAAUCCAUUUUCCAAAUUGCAGAAACUUUGAAUCUUUUAUUUUUCGUUCAUUUUCUUUUAUUUCUGCUCCUUCUCAAUCAGGAGGAAUUCUCAAUCAGGUUUUAUUCCUUUAACUAUAUUCAUAAAAACAUGGUUUCAUUCCUUUGACUAUAUUCAUAAAACAACAUGGUUUUAUUCCUUUAACUAUAUUCAUAAAAACAUGGUUUUAUUCCUUUAACUAUGUUCAUAAAAACAUUGUUUUAUUCUUUUAACUAUAUAAAACAACAUGGUUUUAUUCCUUUAACUAUGUUCAUAAAAACAUGGUUUUAUUCCUUUAACUAUAUUUAUAAAAACAUGGUUUUAUUCCUUUAACUAUAUUCAU